rnacentral:rRNA from 1 species
AUACGGAGGGUGCAAGCGUUAUUCGGAAUCACUGGGCGUAAAGGACGCGUAGGCGGGUUAUUAAGUCGGGUGUGAAAUCCAAUGGCUCAACCAUUGAACUGCAUUCGAAACUGAUAACCUAGAGUAUGGAAGGGGCAGGUGGAAUUAGUGGUGUAGGGGUAAAAUCCGUAGAUAUCACUAGGAAUACCGAAAGCGAAGGCGACCUGCUGGGACAUUACUGACGCUGAGGCGUGAAAGCGUGGGGAGCAAACAGGAUUAGAAACCCCUGUAGUCC